rnacentral:lncRNA from 1 species
UUGAACAAUAUUUGAAAUAUCUAAAGUCUUACCUUUUGGCCGAGGUGUCGAAUUCAAAGUAGUAUCUUCUUCUCAAUAAUUUCUCGAUAACGGAAUAAGUUGGUUCAAGUCAGACGAAGCAGGAAUAACAAGAACAUUACUCGAUGAUGGACGAUUGGGGUCGUUGCUUGUAGACUUAGCCUGAAAAUAAAUGAAAAUAUUCACAAAUUAAUAAAUUGAAAAACUAAUUUCAAAAUAAUUAUUAAACUCACAUGUAUAUUGUCAAAUAACCGUUGUUCCAUCAUUUUAAAACGUUUUUCGUGUUCUAUUUCGAACGCUUCCAUUCGUUUUUCAACGGCUUUGAAAACUGUCAAUUUAAAUUCUUCAGUGUUGUACUUCUCAGUUUUUUCAUUGCUCAUUUUCUUUCUCUUUUUAUUUAAUAACAUCGAGUCAUUCCCAACUCUAAAUCCCAGAAUGCGGCCAUUUUUCUUUCCCUUUGAUGCUUUUAGCCAAUGUCCAAUAUGAUCGUUUUUAAAUAGAGGCUUACUAUGAAAUGUAGUUGAACCUUGAGACGAUAAGUUUUCGUCUUCGACUCUUCGCUAUCUUCAUCAGAAUCAGAAUCACUAUUUUCAUUACGUACUCUUUUCCUUGGUUCUACAUGUCUGUCCCAAGUAGUGUAAUCACUCAUAAAACCGAACUUGUAAAGAUGAACUGUCAUUAUAUUUCUAACUUCCUUAUUUAAACAACAACUACUACAAGGGCAUUUAAUUUUUCCAUCUUCACGAGUCAUAACUAACUCUGAGAAUGCAAAGUUUAGAAAUCGCUCAACACCAUUGAGAAAUGAAUCGGUAAUUUGAUUUUUCUCAUCUAGUCGGUUGUGCAUCCAAUUUUGAUCAUUGUCGGUCAUUUUAUAAAAUAAUUGAAACAUGCAAAAAUGAGUUGCAUGUCCGUAUAAUCUAAGAUACUAAUUCAGAGUAUCUAUAUAUCAUGAAAAAUAAAAAAAUAAAUCAUAAUAAGAAAGGCUCGGCUCGGCCUGCCGACAGGAUUUUUCUAAGGUUCUAUUUUUUUCAUGAAAUUAAAAGCCAUCUACUUGUAAACAAUGGAAAUAAGAUAGUAUUAUCUCAUUCAUGGAGAUACAUAAGAGAUUUUUUUUUAAUUUAGAAAGAAAGAAAAAAGAAAUUUAUUACAUGGGUUGCAUUUUCUUUAUUACAUGGGUUGCAUUUUUAAAAGAUUUUCAUGGGGAUUUAUGGAUUGCAUUUUAUUUAUUACAUUCACAUCAAAUUUAUUUGGAUUUUUAAAAAAGAAGGAAAAAUACUAGAUGAAGGAGAUGCUAGAUAUCCAUUAUUGUGAAUUUAGAAGUCGGGGUGAAUUUUCAUUUGGGCAUAAGACAACAAUAUCCUUUAUUAUGCCAAAUACAAUCUGUUCACAUAUUGAUUGCAAUACUUCAUCUUUACCAACAACUACAAGCUCUAUUGAUGUUUCCUGAAAGUAAUGUCCCAAGAUUCAACAACAACAAAAGUAGCCAAAAAUUACGAAAAUUUAUCACUGCUCCUUGAUUUUAAGUUUUUCUCCUAUCCCGUUAUGACGAGUCCCCCUUAUACAUACCAAUGUUUCAUCCCGAACACGUAUGCACAAGAACAAAAUAUAUCAAAUGAAAUCUCAGUUCAGAUUUCACACUUGGCAAACUCUGACUAAAAAUAAAUACAAAAUCGCAUCCAAGCUUGUAAUAAUGUAAUCGUAUUAAUUGUAAAGUAAAGAUUCUGCUAUUUACCUUUCCGAGUACUAUGUCAACUGAUGGAGAGCAGAACCGACCACAGACAGCUUGGAGAACAACGGUGCUCCGGACAAUAUACUUAGCCAAGUAAUGGAUACUCUCCUUUUGAAAGUCCGACGGUAGAUGAGAAGAUGCAGGCCGGCGGAGAUGAAGAGAUCGAUGAAGAACUCGACGGUGCCAGAGAUGUAGAGAAAUCGUCCAGAGAAAUUUGGUGUUUUGGAAAGAUUUUGGGAGAAAUCGUGGGUUUUGAGUUUGGAGUAGAAAUUUUUAGGGAUUUAGAGGUUUUGGUAUUUUA